AUUGAACGCUGGCGGCAGGCUUAACACAUGCAAGUCGAACGAGUGGCGGACGGGUGAGUAAUGCUUGGGAAUCUCGCUUAUGGAGGGGGAUAACUACGGGAAACUGUAGCUAAUACCGCGUACCAUAGGAUGAGCCCAAGUGGGAUUAGGUAGUUGGUGAGGUAAAGGCUCACCAAGCCGACGAUCUCUCGCUGGUCUGAGAGGAUGACCAGCAACAGUGGGACUGAGACACGGCGCAGACACCUAAGGGAGGGAGCAGUAGGAAAUAUUGCGAAAUGGGGGAAACCUGACGCAGCAAUACCGCGAGAAUGAGGAAGGCCUUCGGGUUGUAAAGUUCUUUAGGUAGCGAGGCGUUAACUACAGGAGAAGCAGCGGCUAACUCCGUGCCAGCAGCCGCGGUAAUUC
rnacentral:rRNA from 1 species